rnacentral:rRNA from 1 species
CCUACGGGAGGCAGCAGUGAGGAAUAUUGGUCAAUGGGCGCGAGCCUGAACCAGCCAAGUAGCGUGAAGGAUGACUGCUCUAUGGGUUGUAAACUUCUUUUAUAAAGGAGUAAAGUGAGGCACGCGGGCCUUUUUGGAUGUACUUUAUGAAUAAGGCUCGGCUAACUCCGUGCCAGCAGCCGCGGUAAUACGGAGGAUCCGAGCGUUAUCCGGAUUUAGUGGGUUUAAAGGGAGCGUAGGUGGGUUGUUAAGUCAGUUGUGAAAGUUUGGGGCUCAACCGUAAAAUUGCAAUUGAUACUGGCAGGCUUGAGUACAGUUGAGGUAGGCGGAAUUCGUGGUGUAGCGGUGAAAUGCUUAGAUAUCACGAAGAACUCCGAUUGCGAAGGCAGCUUACUAAACUGCCACUGACGUUGAUGCUCGAAAGUGUGGGGAUCAAACAGGAUUAGAUACCCUUGUAGUC